rnacentral:rRNA from 1 species
UACGUAGGGGGCAAGCGUUAUCCGGAUUUACUGGGUGUAAAGGGAGCGUAGACGGCGCGGCAAGUCUGAAGUGAAAGGCAGGGGCUUAACCCAUGAACUGCUUUUGAAACUGCAGAGCUUGAGUGGAGUAGAGGUAGGCGGAAUUCCCGGUGUAGCGGUGAAAUGCGUAGAGAUCGGGAGGAACACCAGUGGCGAAGGCGGCCUGCUGGACAGUAACUGACGUUGAGGCUCGAAAGCGUGGGGAGCAAACAGG